UACGAAGGGGGCUAGCGUUGCUCGGAAUCACUGGGCGUAAAGGGUGCGUAGGCGGGUUUUUAAGUCAGGGGUGAAAUCCUGGAGCUCAACUCCAGAACUGCCUUUGAUACUGAAGAUCUCGAGUCCGGGAGAGGUGAGUGGAACUGCGAGUGUAGAGGUGAAAUUCGUAGAUAUUCGCAAGAACACCAGUGGCGAAGGCGGCUCACUGGCCCGAUACUGACGCUGAGGCACGAAAGCGUGGGGAGCAAACAGGG
rnacentral:rRNA from 1 species